rnacentral:misc_RNA from 1 species
AGGUGAACCUGCGGAAGGAUCAUUCAUAAAUGAGUGUUUUAUGGCACUUUUUAAAUCCAUAUCCACCUUGUGUGCAAUGUCAGUCGAUCUUCUUUAUGGAGAUUGGCCAAACAUCAACCAUAUCUUUUAACUCUUUGUCUGAAAAAUAUUAUGAAUAAACAAUUCAAAAUACAACUUUCAACAACGGAUCUCUUGGCUCUCG